CAGUAGCCGCGGGAAUACGUAGGGGGCAAGCGUUGUCCGGAAUCAUUGGGCGUAAAGCGCGUGUAGGCGGCUCGAUAAGUCUGCUGUGAAAGUCCAGGGCUCAACCCUGGGAUGCCGGUGGAUACUGUCGAGCUCGAGUCCGGAAGAGGCGAGUGGAAUUCCUGGUGUAGCGGUGAAAUGCGCAGAUAUCAGGAGGAACACCAAUGGCGAAGGCAGCUCGCUGGGACGUGACUGACGCUGAGACGCGAAAGCGUGGGGAGCAAACAGGAUUAGAUACCCGCGUAGUCCCUGUCUCUUAUAC
rnacentral:rRNA from 1 species